rnacentral:rRNA from 1 species
UACGAAGGGGGCGAGCGUUGUUCGGAAUUACUGGGCGUAAAGGGCUCGUAGGCGGCCAACUAAGUCGGAUGUGAAAUCCCCAGGCUUAACCUGGGAACUGCAUCCGAUACUGGAUGGCUUGAAUCCGGGAGAGGGAUGCGGAAUUCCAGGUGUAGCGGUGAAAUGCGUAGAUAUCUGGAGGAACACCGGUGGCGAAGGCGGCCAUCUGGACGGCUAUUGACGCUGAGACGCGAAAGCGUGGGGAGCAAACAGG